AACAACUGGGAUUCACAGCAAAUCGCUUAAUUAAAGCAUGGAAUAUGGAAAACAGCAGAAAAACAUCUCAUCUGAUUUAGUCUCAUCUGAAAUUCUGUAGAAAUUUCAAACAUUAUUUUUGACUGCUGCA
rnacentral:lncRNA from 1 species